UGGGUAACACUAACUGGAGGACCGAACCGACUAAUGUUGAAAAAUUAGCGGAUGACUUGUGGCUGGGGGGGAAAGGCCAAUCAAACCGGGAGAUAGCUGGUUCUCCCCGAAAGCUAUUUAGGUAGCGCCUCGUGAACUCAUCUCCGGGGGUAGAGCACUGUUUCGGCAAGGGGGUCAUCCCGACUUACCAACCCGAUGCAAACUGCGAAUACCGGAGAAUGUUAUCACGGGAGACACACGGCGGGUGCUAACGUCCGUCGUGAAGAGGGAAACAACCCAGACCGCCAGCUAAGGUCCCAAAGUCAUGGUUAAGUGGGAAACGAUGUGGGAAGGCCCAGACAGCCAGGAUGUUGGCUUAGAAGCAGCCAUCAUUUAAAGAAAGCGUAAUAGCUCACUGGUCGAGUCGGCCUGCGCGGAAGAUGUAACGGGGCUAAACCAUGCACCGAAGCUGCGGCAGCGACGCUGAUGCGUUGUUGGGUAGGGGAGCGUUCUGUAAGCCUGUGAAGGUGUGCUGUGAGGCAUG
rnacentral:rRNA from 1 species